rnacentral:rRNA from 1 species
UACGAAGGGUGCAAACGUUGCUCGGAAUCAUUGGGCGUAAAGCGCACGUAGGCGGCCUUGCAAGUCGGAUGUGAAAUCCCACGGCUCAACCGUGGACGUGCAUCCGAAACUGCUCGGCUCGAGUAUGGAAGAGGGUCGCGGAAUUCCCGGUGUAGAGGUGAAAUUCGUAGAUAUCGGGAGGAACACCAGUGGCGAAGGUGGCGACCUGGGCCAAUACUGACGCUGAGGUGCGAAAGCGUGGGGAGCAAACAGG